CAACUGUCAGGAGAAGGAGUGCCUGUACAAGAGAGUGGACCCAUGCAUCUGGUUGCCUGCUUUGCUAUCUCCAAACACAACCCUGACACUUGGGCGGAGUGGCCAUGUAUCAAAGCUAAAGAACAUUUUGCCAUUUGCUCUUCAUUAAAUCCAUACCAGGGAGGUGAUAGACUGAGGAAUGCAGAAGGAACAAUAUAAGAAGAACCAUUGAGAAAACCAGGAUCCCUGCUCUAAUUCAUACAGUGUAGCAGCUGGAGCAGCUUGGUGGAUACAUGAAGAUGAUACUAGGAGAGAAUACUCUUGUGCUUAGGACC